rnacentral:lncRNA from 1 species
GGCGUGGACCCGGAAGGCGGAGGAAAGGGGCCGGGGACCUGUGCGAGUUUUGUUAACACUCCUCCCUCUUGUUGAGGACCUGGAUAGAACUGUUUGUGGAGACCAUUGCAAAAGAUGCCUACUGUUGCGCUCAGCAGGGAAAAAGGAAAACCCUUCAGAGGAGAGACUUGGAUAAUGCAAUAGAAGCUGUGGAUGAAUUUGCUUUUCUGGAAGGUACUUUAGAUUGAUUGCCGAGCGGGGCAGUUUUGUGAGCCUUCAUCUGAAGCCUUCAGUUCACCCCUCUGCACAGGCCUCAGCUUUGAAGAACGGAGUCUUUGCACUUACACACACUCUUCCUGUUCUGCCUUCACCUAUGCCGGGAUAAGCAGAGAUCUCAUCAAUUAGCUCUUCUCUGCAAGGUCUUCCACUAUUUCUGUCUGUCUUCCAUAUCAAGCCUGGAUGCAGCUGCUGCUGCUUAGAGCAGAGAUGAAGAAAGUGUUCUGCAUAAGUGGCUUCCUGAAUGAUGAGGACCAGAAUAAAGGUUUUUGA